rnacentral:rRNA from 1 species
GAUUAGAGUUUGAUCAUGGCUCAGAUUGAACGCUGGCGGCAUGCCUAACACAUGCAAGUCGAACGGCAGCACGGGGGCAACCCUGGUGGCGAGUGGCGGACGGGUGAGGAAUACAUCGGAAUCUACCUUCUGGUGGGGGAUAACCAGCCGAAAGGCUGGCUAAUACCGCAUAAGACCGAGAGGUGAAAGCGGGGGACCGAAAGGCCUCGCGCGAGAAGAUGAGCCGAUGUCCGAUUAGCUAGUUGGCGGGGUAAGAGCCCACCAAGGCGACGAUCGGUAGCUGGUCUGAGAGGAUGAUCAGCCACACUGGGACUGAGACACGGCCCAGACUCCUACGGGAGGCAGCAGUGGGGAAUAUUGGACAAUGGGCGCAAGCCUGAUCCAGCAAUGCCGCGUGUGUGAAGAAGGCCUUCGGGUUGUAAAGCACUUUUAUCGGGAGCGAAAAGCGGCCGGCUAAUACCCGGUCGUGCUGACGGUACCCGAGGAAUAAGCACCGGCUAACUUCGUGCCAGCAGCCGCGGUAAUACGAAGGGUGCAAGCGUUAAUCGGAAUUACUGGGCGUAAAGCGUGCGUAGACGGCCUUUUAAGUCUGCUGUGAAAGCCCUGGGCUCAACCUGGGAACUGCAGUGGAUACUGUGAGGCUGGAGUGCGGUAGAGGAUGGUGGAAUUCCCGGUGUAGCGGUGAAAUGCGUAGAGAUCGGGAGGAACAUCAGUGGCGAAGGCGGCCAUCUGGACCAGCACUGACGUUGAGGCACGAAAGCGUGGGGAGCAAACAGGAUUAGAUACCCUGGUAGUCCACGCCCUAAACGAUGCGAACUGGACGUUGGGGCACAACUCGGUGCUCAGUGUCGAAGCUAACGCGUUAAGUUCGCCGCCUGGGGGAGUACGCUCGCAAGAGUGAAACUCAAAGGAAUUUGACGGGGGCCCGCACAAGCGUGGGAGUAUGUGGUUUAAUUCGAUGCAACGCGCAGAACCCUUACCCUGGCCUUGACAUGUCGCGAACCCCUGCAGAAGAUGCGGGGGUGCCUUCUGGAAUGCGAAACACAAGGUGGCUUGCAUGGGCUGU